AUUCAUGUAGUUUAUUAAAACAUUCCAUUUUCAAUGGAAAGAAGGAAAAAUUAUCCCUUGAAUU
rnacentral:tRNA from 1 species